GACGAACGCUGGCGGCGUGCUUAACACAUGCAAGUCGAACGGAAAGGCCCUGCUUUUGUGGGGUGCUCGAGUGGCGAACGGGUGAGUAACACGUGAGUAACCUGCCCUUGACUUUGGGAUAACUUCAGGAAACUGGGGCUAAUACCGGAUAGGAGCUCCUGCUGCAUGGUGGGGGUUGGUAAGGUUCGGCGGUUGGGGAUGGACUCGCGGCUUAUCAGCUUGUUGGUGGGGUAGUGGCUUACCAAGGCUUUGACGGGUAGCCGGCCUGAGAGGGUGACCGGCCACAUUGGGACUGAGAUACGGCCCAGACUCCUACGGGAGGCAGCAGUGGGGAAUAUUGCACAAUGGGCGGAAGCCUGAUGCAGCAACGCCGCGUGCGGGAUGACGGCCUUCGGGUUGUAAACCGCUUUCGCCUGUGACGAAGCGUGAGUGACGGUAAUGGGUAAAGAAGCACCGGCUAACUACGUG
rnacentral:rRNA from 1 species